AUAACUUUAAACAUAAGUUUUUAAGUUUGAAAGAUGCAAUUGCAUCACUCAAAGAUGAUCCCGCGUUGUAUUAGCUAGUUGGUGAGGUAAAGGCUCACCAAGGCGAUGAUACAUAGCCGACCUGAGAGGGUGAUCGGCCACAUUGGGACUGAGACACGGCCCAAACUCCUACGGGAGGCAGCAGUAGGGAAUCUUCGGCAAUGGACGAAAGUCUGACCGAGCAACGCCGCGUGAGUGAAGAAGGUUUUCGGAUCGUAAAACUCUGUUGGUAGAGAAGAACGUUGGUGAGAGUGGAAAGCUCAUCAAGUGACGGUAACUACCCAGAAAGGGACGGCUAACUACGUGCCAGCAGCCGCGGUAAUACGUAGGUCCCGAGCGUUGUCCGGAUUUAUUGGGCGUAAAGCGAGCGCAGGUGGUUAUUAAGUCUGGUGUAAAAGGCAGUGGCUCAACCUAUUGUAUGCAUUGGAAACUGGUAGACUUGAGUGCAGGAGAGGUAGAGUGGAAUUCCAUGUGUAGCGGUGAAAUGCGUAGAUAUAG
rnacentral:rRNA from 1 species